UACGAAGGGGACUAGCGUUGUUCGGAAUCACUGGGCGUAAAGCGCACGUAGGCGGAUGUGUCAGUCAGGGGUGAAAUCCCCGGGGCUCAACCUCGGAACUGCCUUUGAUACAGCACGUCUCGAGUCCGGAAGAGGUGGGUGGAAUUCCUAGUGUAGAGGUGAAAUUCGUAGAUAUUAGGAAGAACACCGGUGGCGAAGGCGGCCCACUGGUCCGGUACUGACGCUGAGGUGCGAAACGUGGGGAGCAAACAGG
rnacentral:rRNA from 1 species